UGCCUUCCAAGCAGUUGACCCGGGU
rnacentral:piRNA from 9 species